GGGGAAGCCCAGCAACUGAUGGGGGACAAGCUGGAGGAUGUCACAGCCAAGGUGAUGUGCCAGCUCCGCCUAAUCCGGCACUUGCACCAGGUGCCCGAGGUGCUGCAAAGGCUGCGACUCAUCUGAUGCCAUUAAGGUUCCCCUCCCAUGUUCAGCAACUCCCGCUCCCUGCUGCAGGCAGAGAUCUCCCUGCCCCAUAUGGCGCAGAAGGACCUUUGUGUCAGGGCUACAGACUGUCUGCCCAACUGAAGCUCAGGAAGCU